UACGUAGGGUCCAAGCGUUAUCCGGAAUCACUGGGCGUAAAGCGUGCGUAGGUGGAUGUUUAAGUGUGAUGUUAAAUCGUGUGGCUCAACCAUAUCGAUGUGUCGCAUACUGGGCAUCUAGAGGACAGCAGAGGCAAGUGGAAUUACGAGUGUAGCGGUAAAAUGCGUAGAUAUUCGUAGGAACACCAAUGGCGAAGGCAGCUUGCUGGGCUACUCCUGACACUGAGGUACGAAAGCGUGGGGAGCGAACAGG
rnacentral:rRNA from 1 species